GCCCCUUCGGAGACAUCUGAUAAAAUUGGAACGAUACAAAGAAGAUUACCAUGGCCCUUGCACAAGGAUGACACGCACAAAUCGUGAAAUGGUCUUGACUUGC